rnacentral:misc_RNA from 1 species
AACUUUUGGCAAUGGAUCUCUUGGCUCUCGCAUCGAUGAAUAACGCAGCGAAUUGCGAUAUGUAAUGUGAAUUGCAGAAUUCAGUGAAUCAUCGAAUCUUUGAACGCAUAUUGCACCCUCUGGUUAUUCUGGAGGGUAUAUCUGUUUGAGUGUCAUUAAUGUAUCAAAUCAAUCAACUUGCUUUGAUUGGUCUUGGAUGUUGAGGGUUGCUGGAUUUUUAUUAUCAGCUCCCUUUAAAUAUAUUAGCUUGGAAUGUAUGAAGUCAUUUUAACUUAGGCUAAUAUGAAUAUCUAUUAAAUGCUUUUGUUGAUGUGCUUUGUCUAAGCUUAUAACUGUCCUCGAAGGACUGCCAUAGGCAUUUUAACUUGAUCAUGACCUCAAAUCAGAUAGGAUUACCCGCUGAACUUAAGCAUAUCAAUAAGCGGAGGCU